UACGGGGGGAGCAAGCGUUGUUCGGAUUUACUGGGCGUAAAGGGCGCGUAGGCGGCCACCGCAAGUCGACUGUGAAAUCUCCGGGCUUAACCCGGAAAGGUCAGCCGAUACUGCGGGGCUAGAGUGCAGAAGGGGCAACUGGAAUUCUCGGUGUAGCGGUGAAAUGCGUAGAUAUCUGGAGGAAUACCGGUGGCGAAGGCGGCAUCCUGGACCGGCAUUGACGCUGAUGAGCGAAAGCUAAGGGGAGCAAACGGGG
rnacentral:rRNA from 1 species